GCUGGGCGGACGCAGACUCCCUGCAGGGCUGCGCAGAAGGGGGCGCCUUCGGGCCGGACGCGCCCCGACCCCGCCCCAGGCCCUCGAACCCGAUCCUCUCCCUGGCUGAGGCGCGCGGCUGGUCUCAAGACCCGGGACUAGCUCCGCUCGGCCUGCGGAAAGGACCCGGAUCCGCGCGCGACCCAGCGCCCCUGCGGAGCCUGGCCUCGACAGUCCUGCUCGAGGGCCCGGGCUGGCACGCCCCGCACCCUCCGCGUCCGCGUGGCCAGGCCGGGCAGCUCUGCGCUGACCCAGGAUUUCCCAGCUGGAGUCGGGGCACCGCCUUUCAGGGCUGCCAGGCAGGCGAGGCAAUGGCCGAAACUGACACCCCAACACCGGUUAAAAUCCCAUUCCUGAUGUGAUGUGCUCAGCUUUGAAGACUCAAAGGAGCAAAGGUCCAGAGAGCAGUGAAGCCCAGGAGACACUUGAGGCUUCGGAGGGAUACGGUACUCCAAGUUAGAUGGAACCAAAAGCUGAACUGAGUCAGCCUGGUUCUGGGUAUGGAAGACCCACCUGAGGAUUGUUGCCAACAGCAUAAAAAGAGAACUGCAGGGGAAGAUCGUUUGCUAUUGAUUUUCUCAGAGAAGCUUGCCACAGCUGGUUUCCCUGAUAUGAACUCGGCUGUUCUCCUCAUCAGAGGAGCUCGGGUCCUUGCUGUCACUGAGGAUGGCUGCUCUUCUCAUCAGAGGAGCUCUGGUCUUCGCCUUGAGCAUCGCUUCCUGGCUCCAGUGCAGAUCUCUCAGCCUGGUGACACAAUUCCUUCACCCUGCUGGCACAGGUUUUCUAGCUUCUACCACUGGCCUUUGGGCUUUCCCAGGGCAGAGCCUCAGUACAGAUUUGCAUGAGACACUGCUGUGGGCUCUAGGCCUCCAGGUGGACUCGAGGAGGACACUGCCUUGGACUCUAGGCCUUCAGCUGGACUUGUCUGGGACAUUGCUUUGGGAUCCAGGCCCUUGGCUGGAUUCUUUGGGUCCCUGGUGCUCAGCUAGAUCUCAUGUACUCCUCUGCAUUUGACUUUUUGGGUGAAAAUUAUAAAAUAAUCCCGUGAAUUAUGUGUCCUGUAUUAAAUUUAUUCCCUUGCAAACCCUGACUACAAUAUUUAAGGUGUACAAUGUGA